UCGACUUCACGUUGAAGUUGAAUACUUGAGAGCCGUUAGAUGAUUUGAUUGAUUUGACUAAAUUUUCAUCUAACGACUCUCAGAUAUCAACUUCACGUGAAGUCAACUUCACCUGAGUUUUCACCUUAAUACAAAAAUAGAAUUAG
rnacentral:pre_miRNA from 1 species